UAUUUAGUCCUUCUUUACUUACUUGAUGUACACCAUUAUUUUGCAAUACUUGAUACGGAAAAUGAAUGUCAGAUGACCAACGCGAGAAAAGUCUCGAAAAUGUCUAAAAAAAAAAAAAAAAGACAAAAAGAAAAACGGAAAGGAAAAUGUUGGAACCGGCUAAGAGCGAGAGGCAAAGUCCAUGUACCCCACUAUCGGCUCAUCGGCCUUCUCCCUCGGUGCCCCACGACUGGUACCCUUCUCUCCCGGUCCCGUCUCUCACCUACGGGCAGGUGAGCAGUGAGUCCGUGUGGCGCGGGUUACCAUUAUGUCUACAGCCUUGAAUUAAAAUGCCAUAUAAUGACACAGCUAGGCGGCCCGUAUAAUUUAUGUCCAUAAAAAUAAAAUCAUAAUUACAGAGGCGCGGACUGCGAAAAGACGGUAAUAAUAUGGCUGCCCGCUGCGCUCGUUGCGUGUUCCGCGGAUAUAUAUCGUGCUGGUUGUUGUUCCUGUCGGUGGUUGUCGUGCGGCGGCGUUGAUGCGCCGCAGAAACGUGGCCGCCAAUGUCAAUCGUCGGAGCGCGGAACCGUCGGGAGGUGGAUUUUUGUGGGUAAAAUCGGUUUCCUCGUUAGGAAAGUAAUGAGCGUGCCGAGGAGGAAAUAUAAUGUUGCGGCAAGAUUGCCAGGAGGGACGAUACGUCAAUCAAUCUUCGAGCCUGUGUAAAGAUACUGACGGGUAGCAUUAGUAAGUCGUGCAGAGACUGUCUGUCCGACUCGAUUGCAUCAAUUUAUUGCUCAAUUUGUUAAUUCUAUUGUCAGUAAAGGAAAAUUCAGAACGCCAUGAUUGAUGUAACAUUUUGUAGACUAUGGAUAUAAUUGCUAAACAUCGUGGAAAUAAGAAAGUCAAUUGUUUGGAAAAUGAUUCUUUGU